rnacentral:rRNA from 1 species
AGAUGGGCUCGCGGACCAUUAGCUAGUUGGUGAGGUAACGGCUCACCAAGGCAACGAUGGAUAGCCGACCUGAGAGGGUGAACGGCCACACUGGAACUGAGACACGGUCCAGACUCCUACGGGAGGCAGCAGUGGGGAAUAUUGGGCAAUGGAGGCAACUCUGACCCAGCAACGCCGCGUGAGGGAAGAAGGUUUUCGGAUUGUAAACCUCUGUCCUAGGGGACGAAGAAAGUGACGGUACCCUAGGAGGAAGCCCCGGCUAACUACGUGCCAGCAGCCGCGGUAAUACGUAGGGGGCAAGCGUUGUCCGGAAUUACUGGGCGUAAAGGGUGCGUAGGCGGUAUGGUAAGUUAGAUGUGAAAUCCCCGGGCUUAACUCGGGAGUUGCAUUUAAAACUGUCAGACUAGAGUGCAGGAGAGGAAAGCGGAAUUCCUAGUGUAGCGGUGAAAUGCGUAGAUAUUAGGAGGAACACCAGUGGCGAAGGCGGCUUUCUGGACUGUAACUGACGCUGAGGCACGAAAGCGUGGGGAGCGAACAGGAUUAGAUACCCUGGUAGUCCACGCUGUAAACGUUGGAUACUAGGUGUAGGGACCUAAAAAGGUUUCUGUGCCGCAGCAAACGCAAUAA